CACCGACGACAACAGCCUCCCUAACAACAACGGCUGCACCAACAACAACAGCUGUGCCGACAACAACAUCUGCACCCACAACAUCUCCAGUUCCGACAACAACAGUCGCAUCAACAACAACAGCCGCCCCAAUAACAAUUGCACCCACAACAACAGCCGCCCCAACAACAAUCGCACCGACAACAACGGAAGCAGUCGUAGCAAGGCUAUUGACAUUCAGAUCUCAAGGAGAGACAUUUACAAGUUAUUUGCACGUUCCAUCAUCGGCAGCGUUUCAAAGUCGAGCCGUAUUGAUAGAGUCAACACUCAGACCUUUACUCAAAGAAGCUUUUCCUUCGUUCCGCAACAUCCGUGUGAUUUCAUUCAGUAAUGGAUCAAUCAUCCAAAACUCACUCAUUUAUUUUCCAUUAACAUCUGCUCCUAAUGGCA